rnacentral:tRNA from 1 species
GCAGCCGUAGCUCAGUUGGAUAGAGCGUUGGCCUCCGAAGCCAAAGGUCGCGCGUUCGAGUCGCGCCGGUUGCACCA